rnacentral:miRNA from 1 species
GCAUCAUUACGACGAUGAUGAUGAUGAUGAUGAUAUUGACUCUUCUUCUAUGAACAACGACGACGAAUACAUCAUCAUCCUCAUCAUCAUCAUCAUCAUCCUCG